rnacentral:lncRNA from 1 species
UACCUUCCUGUCCUUCAUCCUUGGCAGGAAAAUGUCCUGGGUCAACUUUAGGUCCUGCCUUCCAGAACCACAUUUGGCUUCCCACAUUAACACUGGGUUAUUUAUUUAUUUUACUAUUUUUUUCCUUCAUUCUACCAAUACCUCUUCAAAAGGCACCCUUAAAUUUGCAUUCAAUAUAAAGAAAUGCCGCUCUGACAAAGAGUGAGCAGCCUUUCCUAUGUGUGGUGAAAGACUUUAUGGAGCCACGUGAGUCUCUUUGGAUCCUGGUAACUGCAAAUGUAAAGAACUCGCCCAAGAGGGUGAGGUGGUAGGUUUUGGUCUUGCCUGAGCCAUCUUCAGACAACACAUGAGCUUUUUCUUCCAGAAAAAAAACCAGUUUGUAAAAACUAUCUUUUCAGAGACCUUCCGAUUGUAUGGUAGAGAAAAAGAGGGGCUGUAGUACUGACACAAAGAAAAGUAUACAUGAAAAUAGAAAGUCAACGUUCAAACUUUAUUUCAAUUUAGUUCCACCUAAUCUGAUUAUGUCUUGCUACUUUUGCAAAACAGAUUAUGUGUUUUACGUAAGUGCUGAGUGCUGACUCACCAUUCAACAACUGAUUCAAUGGAAAUGCUCUGUUUGGGACCAGCAGAGGAACUGAGGCCUUAUCCUUUCAUAUUUCUAAACUCGUUUGCCUGCAAUUAUGCUAAAUGAUUCUGGGUUUUAAAAAGACAAAUAGAAAAUUGCAUGGUUUGUUUUUAUUCAUGUUCAGAGGUUAUCAGAGCAAUUAUUGGGACAGAGAAGGAAGGGAAAUGCUCCUUUGGAAAGCACCUCCACCCCCAAGCAAAUACAGCAGAAGAAAGCUUCGUUGUCCGGGUACCUGUACAAGCCCCCUCCUCUUUACUCACAGAGAUGGAAAUCUAUAGUAACCCAUGGUCCAUGGAAUAACCUCCCCCAUGACUGUGGGGGUUGCAUGUGAACUAUAGCCUAAAAAGCACACUGUGUCAUGUGAUAGCCUUCUAUUAACGUACUGUAGCUAUUUUUAAAGAAAACUUAGUAUUGCAUUCAAUUAUUAUUAACUAAGUAGACCUAUUCUUUCAUAACUCCCAUUCUUUCAAUGGAUCUACUCCAGUUGAGAUGAAUAAUUUGACUUAGUCCUCAAUGUUUUAUGUAUGUAUGUAUGUAUGUAUGUAUGUAUGUAUGUAUGUAUGUAUGUAUGUAUGUAUGUAUGUAUGUAUGUAUGUAUGUAUGUA